GGUCGGGCCAUACGCUAUUAAUUGUUGCCCAAUUCCGUCAGGACCGGAAGGUAGCAGCGGUAAGCAACUUGUUAAUGAGACGUAAGCGGCUUGAUUGGA
rnacentral:SRP_RNA from 1 species